rnacentral:rRNA from 1 species
UACGAAGGGGGCUAGCGUUGUUCGGAAUUACUGGGCGUAAAGCGCACGUAGGCGGAUAUUUAAGUCAGGGGGUGAAAUCCCAGAGCUCAACUCUGGAACUGCCUUUGAUACUGGGUAUCUUGAGUAUGGAAGAGGUAAGUGGAAUUGCGAGUGUAGAGGUGAAAUUCGUAGAUAUUCGCAGGAACACCAGUGGCGAAGGCGGCUUACUGGUCCAUAACUGA